rnacentral:rRNA from 1 species
GACGAACGCUGGCGGCGUGCUUAACACAUGCCAGUCGAACGGAAAGGCCCUGCUUUUGUGGGGUGCUCGAGUGGCGAACGGGUGAGUAACACGUGAGUAACCUGCCCUUGACUUUGGGAUAACUUCAGGAAACUGGGGCUAAUACCGGAUAGGAGCUCCUGCUGCAUGGUGGGGGUUGGAAAGUUUCGGCGGUUGGGGAUGGACUCGCGGCUUAUCAGCUUGUUGGUGGGGUAGUGGCUUACCAAGGCUUUGACGGGUAGCCGGCCUGAGAGGGUGACCGGCCACAUUGGGACUGAGAUACGGCCCAGACUCCUACGGGAGGCAGCAGUGGGGAAUAUUGCACAAUGGGCGGAAGCCUGAUGCAGCAACGCCGCGUGCGGGAUGACGGCCUUCGGGUUGUAAACCGCUUUCGCCUGUGACGAAGCGUGAGUGACGGUAAUGGGUAAAGAAGCACCGGAUAACUACGUG